rnacentral:lncRNA from 1 species
AAAAUCCUCAAAGCUCGAAAAAGAUAAUCAAAAAAGCGUUGUGUAUUUCCCAUUGCAAAAUGAAAUUAUGAUUUUACGUUGUUAGAUACAAAUCCAAAUGCAGAGGGGACCAAAACAACCAAAGGAAUCGAUUAUUUUCUUCAUGUAUCAACACUCCAGGAGGAUAAAAGCCAAGCAUAACCUACAACCCCAACAAAGAAAUCUAGUUCAUUCUCCGAUAACAAAAUUGCCGAUCAAUCUAUUUUUUUUUAAUGGCUACUUUAUUUGGUUUUAUUGUCCGAUCAAUCUAAUUUUUUUUAAUGAAUACUCUACUUGGUAAGUCUACAAAAUUAACGGAUUGAACCACAACACGCACCCCUGACCAAAGACAGCCAAUUUGCAAUCCUCUUUUAAAAGAAAUGAAAAGAUAAAGGUCUCCAUUUCCAUACAAUACCUCAACCCAGUCAGUCGCCUUCAACCUCCAUAAUAGUAUAUAGGGCUGUCCAUCGGUCGUGUUUGGUCGGGUUCGGGUCCGGUAGGACCCGAUCCGAUAAAAAUCGGAUUGGGAAAAAACUCACCCGAACCCGACCGAUUAUCUAGUCGGGUCGGGUCGGGUGAAGAAAUUUUGCAACUCUCACCAGGAAAUUCCCAAGUUCUAUCACAGCCCUGUAGUCACACUUGUCUUAGUCAUAUACCUUAAAGAACACUUCAAGCAAUAUUCAUUUUAUUGUUAACUUCAGGCCCAGAGCAAAUAAUUUACUGCUGCUUCUGAAGCCAAUUGAUGGGGGUAAAACUAUUCCCCUAUUAUAUUCCAAGUACCUCGCCCAAAGAGAGACUGAACAUUGCCGGACAUCAAAAUCCUAUGGAGUCCAUCUCCGCAAUUUGAACGCCAACGUUUCUCCGAACCUCUGGACCGAUGGGUAAAACGAGUCUAACGUUCAGAAUGGAACCACGCUAGCUGUACCAUUGAGCUCGCCUAGAGCCAAAGUGUUGUUUCCUCCUCGCCCUUAGGCGAGGUAAAUACUUGGCUUGAUCAAUCUCCACCAGAUCCCCAUUUAUUACGCCCAUCGCGAGCUUCUCUCUCCACGGGCACCGACAUUACGGGAUACUCUCCCAAAUGCAAUCAUUCAAAAUUAUGUAUUCUAUAUCUCGAGAUAAUCAUUCCAUACUUAUCCUUCCAAGGAUUCUCGCCGUGUUGAUCCAUGGGAACGGCCCAUUACUCCGUCUAUAAAAAGGCCGCUCCCCCAUUAAAAAACGGUACGCUGAAACACCUCCACAAUUCUCUUCAGAGCUAUGUUACUUAAUUAUACUUGGUCUGAUCUCCACGCGGAGGGGUUUUGAAGCGGUCUCGCCCCGGCCGUUUACGUAUGUCGUCUGUGCAGGUCGACCUUCAACAUCCGAGGCCAGUGCCGAGGCGGGAGGAGACCGAGCAAUAGGGAUGUUGGUUGCUCGCCCAGUUUUUACACAACACCCAUGAUCUAGUUACUAUUGAAGGGUUAUUCUACUAUCUGAUGAUCUGAUAUAAUCAGAGAGAGAAAGAAAUUAGAGAAAAAAAAACAUCAUCCACCAAUCAUAUAAACCAAAAAAAAUACAGGAAUUCAUAUCACCUAUUUAGACAACAUCCACCAUAAUUAAAAUAACAAGUCCAUAAGUUAGUAUAUAGGAUCUUCUACUAUUAUUAACUAAACAGCUCUCUGGAAAAGCCAAGCGGAAUCAGCAACCUCCUCGACAUCUAUCGCGGUUCCUCAUUAACGUUAAGCGAGUUUCAUCACCACCGCGUGCAAAUACCUAGUUCCCCAACUGCUCUCAGUAGCUGCCCAUCCAAUCCAUCAACUAUGAAGCACGGGUGUUGGUACGGGGAUUGGCACUGUAUGAUGCAGGUACGUUGGUACAAACAAAAUUUGAAAAAAAUAGGGUACGGAUAUAGUUUGGGUAUGUACCUAAAAAAGAUAUUUUUAUAAUUUUUAGUGAUGAGUUAUAUGUAAUAAUUGGAUAAUCAAAUACAAAAAAUUAUUUAAUAGGUUAGUUAAUUAAGAAUCCAAGUUGUAAACAAUAUUUCAAUGAGAAAAUUAGGUACAAAGUAGAAUUUAGUGUUAUUGUCUAGAAGACCAUUAAAUGUAAUAAGCACUGCUAAGAUAGGAGAAAAAAAUUAAUCAAACAACCUUUAUAUCUAUAUUAAAAUUAGAAUUAUUCCGGUCCGGUCUGGCUAUGGUAUAUAGUAGGUACCUCAGGGGGGUAAAUAUUUUUUUUUUAUAUAAAAAAAAUCGGUAUGUAUUUUGUCGUACUCGGUACAUAUUUAAAAAUAUCAUGCAAAUACCAUGCAAAUGAGUUGUUCAAAUAAAAACUAUGCAAUCAAAUUCAAACAAUGGCAAAGUAUAGGGUUUUUUUAUCUAAUUAAUAUAUAUAUAUUUUUUACUUUGCUAUCCUUAAAAAAUUAUCCGUGCAUUAGCACAUGUAUAUGCUAGUAGUCGUACUUAAUUAUUAAAUAAUGUACAAUAAUAUUAAAAAUACUAGAAUAAAU